rnacentral:lncRNA from 1 species
GGGGCCGGGCAGGGCGCGGGCGGCCGCGCGUUCCGCCGGGGACGCGCCGGGGCUGCCGGAGACGCCCGUGUCGGGUGUCCCCGUGGGGGCUGCGGAGGGCAGGUGGAGGGGCCGUGGGGUGCGGGCAGUCCCCUCCUUCCCUGUUGGUUUCUUUGGGACGGAUGCGGUGGGCCCCAUCUUUGCGCUCUACGCAACAGGUCACAACAUGAUAGUUGGGAAAAUGGAAUGGUUGCCAGAACAUCAGUCUGUGAUGGAUGCCAUAUUGCAUUACCCUUCAAAUGGUGGAAUACAGUUUGGGAUUCCUCAGACCUGCUUAACGUGGUUCAAGAUGGAACUUACAGCUGCUUAACGUUUUAGCUGUUUGGAUCCAUGGUUAUGGUUAAUGGUUUCCUGGGUGAAGAGUCCCAUGCUGAAACUUGUGGAUAUUGUAGAACAUGCUGCUGAGACCCAUUUGGAUUAUACUGCCAUCUGACAUCAAGGUUUUGCAGCUGAUGAAAGGAGAGAUUUAUUUCCAUUUUACAUGUCAGUCUUCUGAAACGGAAUGCCCAUAACAAUGUUUUUGAGCCUGUAUGUUUGGAGAGGAGCAAAAGUUGUAAUUGUGCAUUUUCCUGAUGCUGCAGGUUCCCAAAAAGGUGGAGUUUACCAGAUCUUUUUUAUGUGGUUGCUGAAGCAUUGCCCUGGGACAGCAGUAAUGAUGGAUGGAGGAACAGAACACACUUCAGAGCUAUCUGAAACUGGCUUUCUUUGUUCACUCCAGCUGUCAGCAGAUUUCAAGGUAUGUCUGUGUUUGAAGAAGUUAUCAUAGAUAUUGGUGACAGCUGGGCUUUGAAAUGUUCUUUGCAGUCAACACAAA